rnacentral:rRNA from 2 species
UGCCUAUACAUGCAGUCGAACGAACUCUGGUAUUGAUUGGUGCUUGCAUCAUGAUUUACAUUUGAGUGAGUGGCGAACUGGUGAGUAACACGUGGGAAACCUGCCCAGAAGCGGGGGAUAACACCUGGAAACAGAUGCUAAUACCGCAUAACAACUUGGACCGCAUGGUCCGAGUUUGAAAGAUGGCUUCGGCUAUCACUUUUGGAUGGUCCCGCGGCGUAUUAGCUAGAUGGUGAGGUAACGGCUCACCAUGGCAAUGAUACGUAGCCGACCUGAGAGGGUAAUCGGCCACAUUGGGACUGAGACACGGCCCAAACUCCUACGGGAGGCAGCAGUAGGGAAUCUUCCACAAUGGACGAAAGUCUGAUGGAGCAACGCCGCGUGAGUGAAGAAGGGUUUCGGCUCGUAAAACUCUGUUGUUAAAGAAGAACAUAUCUGAGAGUAACUGUUCAGGUAUUGACGGUAUUUAACCAGAAAGCCACGGCUAACUACGUGCCAGCAGCCGCGGUAAUACGUAGGUGGCAAGCGUUGUCCGGAUUUAUUGGGCGUAAAGCGAGCGCAGGCGGUUUUUUAAGUCUGAUGUGAAAGCCUUCGGCUCAACCGAAGAAGUGCAUCGGAAACUGGGAAACUUGAGUGCAGAAGAGGACAGUGGAACUCCAUGUGUAGCGGUGAAAUGCGUAGAUAUAUGGAAGAACACCAGUGGCGAAGGCGGCUGUCUGGUCUGUAACUGACGCUGAGGCUCGAAAGUAUGGGUAGCAAACAGGAUUAGAUACCCUGGUAGUCCAUACCGUAAACGAUGAAUGCUAAGUGUUGGAGGGUUUCCGCCCUUCAGUGCUGCAGCUAACGCAUUAAGCAUUCCGCCUGGGGAGUACGGCCGCAAGGCUGAAACUCAAAGGAAUUGACGGGGGCCCGCACAAGCGGUGGAGCAUGUGGUUUAAUUCGAAGCUACGCGAAGAACCUUACCAGGUCUUGACAUACUAUGCAAAUCUAAGAGAUUAGACGUUCCCUUCGGGGACAUGGAUACAGGUGGUGCAUGGUUGUCGUCAGCUCGUGUCGUGAGAUGUUGGGUUAAGUCCCGCAACGAGCGCAACCCUUAUUAUCAGUUGCCAGCAUUAAGUUGGGCACUCUGGUGAGACUGCCGGUGACAAACCGGAAGAAAGGGGGGGGAUGACGUCAAAUCAUCAUGCCCCUUAUGACCUGGGCUACACCCGGGCUACAAUGGGAAGGUACAAC